rnacentral:lncRNA from 10 species
AUGGACAAGCUUAAUAAAAUAACCGUCCCCGCCAGUCAGAAGUUGAGGCAGCUUCAAAAGAUGGUCCAUGAUAUUAAAAACAAUGAAGGUGGAAUAAUGAAUAAAAUCAAAAAGCUAAAAGUCAAAGCACCUCCAAGUGUUCCUCGAAGGGACUACGCUUCAGACACCUGCUCCCUUUCCUGGAACCCUUCCAAAUAGUCUUGAUGUCAGAACAUUUAAUCUCUCCUGGAAUGCAGAAGUGUGGCCCAACAGGAUCUUCUAAGCCUUUGCAACACAAAGUUUGAUUCCCAGCAAGAUAGCAUCAACCUCAUCUGGAGCUUGUUAGAAAUGCAGAAUCUUGGCCCCACCCUAGAACUACUGGAUCAGAAUUUACAUUUUAGCAAGAUCUCCAGGGGAUCUGAAUGUAAAUCAUAUUUAAGAAACCCUGCUAUAAACCACCA